rnacentral:rRNA from 1 species
AAGGGCACCACAAGAACGCGUGGAGCAUGUGGCUUAAUUUGACUCAACCCGGGAAAUCUUACCAGGUCCAGACAUAUUGAGGAUUGACAGGCGAUAGUAUAUACUUAUAAUUAUAAGUAUAUGCAUAAAAAUGAUAGUCCUUUCAUGAUUAUAUGAUAGGUGGUGCAUGGCCGUUCUUAGUUCGUGGAGUGAUUUGUCUGCUUAAUUGCGUUUCAGUAAAUAAAAUAUAUAAUAUAUUAUAAUAUUUUUAGUUCUGCCUUUAUGGAUUUAAAGUGAACAUAUUAUAUAUAUUAUUAUAUAAUAAAUGAAUGCAACGAACGUGACCGUAACCUUUUAUUGCUAUUAAAUAUUAUUAAUAUAUAGCAUAAAAUUAAAGGAACCGCUGUCAUUACUAAAUAUGUGUUAAAAUAGAGUAAGAUUAUGGCAAUAACAGGUCUGUGAUGCCCUCAGAUGUUCUGGGCUGCACACGUGCUACAAUAAUUACAUUAAUAAGUAUAUAUAUAAUAAUUAUAUAAUUUAUAUAAUUAAUGCAACCUAUUUCGAAAGUAAAUCGGUAAUCAUUUAAAAAUCGUGAUUAAUUAAUAUAAAUAUAAUUAAUUUAAGGUGGGGAUAGUGUAUUGUUAAUUAUUACACUUGUUUUUAACUAGGAAUGCCUUGUACUCUUCUUUGGUUUAACAUACCAAGAGGAAUACGUCCCUGCCCUUUGUACACACCGCCCGUCGCUCUUACCGAUGAAUUAUAUUAUAAAUCUAAGGGACUUAUACCUAUUAUUUAGGAAACUUAUAUACAUAAUGUGAUUUAAAGGAAAGAGAAGUCGUAACAAGGCAUCAGUAGGUGAACCU